AAAGCAGUCAAGCAGCCAAGUGCAUGAGCUCUCCAAAUGCAAUAGAAGAAAUAUAACCUAUUUUACUAGGGAGCACUCUAGUGAAACAAUCAUGUGUACUUUGAUUAGUUUCAUUAACAUAUUAUUUUUACCUUCAGUUCUAUGUACAAAUAUUUCAUAUGCAGUUAACUUACACAUAUAGUCUGAGCUUAAGGCUUCUUCCAGGUCCAGUCAGGUGAGAUUUACUGUAAAUAGGUACUAGAGCUAAAUCAAAUUAGUGUUUGGAUGAUCUUUUCAGUGAUAUUUGCCAUGUGUACCUUGAUCCUUUCCUUAGAAAUAUGAUUAAUUGUUAAAUUAUUUACUUCUCUAUGCAAAUUAGGUACUCAGUCUUUUCUGCACUUUUUGUUCUAGAAAAGAACCAAAGAAGAUACUUGGAAAGCAGAAGAACUUAGGAAACAUCUAAAGGCAUCACUACCAGAACAAAAUGAAGACCAAAAACACAGAGAGAAGAAACUGCAGAGAGAGAGGACUGUUUAUGACAUAGACCCUAACAGACGUGAACUCAGAGGCAGAGAGAAGAGCAAGGAAAGAACAAGAGAGAGAGAAAGAUUUAAAUCCAGUGAAAGGAACAGGGACAAACGGAGAGAAAGGGAACAGGAACACCAGAGAGAAGACCGAGGGAGACACAAAGAUAAGGUUCAAGAGUCAUAUUUGGAGGAGAGACAUGGUAUACUGAAACAUAAAGACAGAGAGACUGAUAGAGAACGAGACAAAAAGCACAAGACAUAUGAAAUAAAGCAAACAGAUCCACAAAAUUACCUGAAAUCAUUUGAAGGAAGAGAUACAGAACAUCACAGAAGAAGAGAAAUCAGGCAUCGUUUGGAGGAGGAGAAAGCAAGAACUGAGGAGCGAGAAAGAAGACAUAAAGCACAGAAGAACAGUGAAUACAAAAAGG
rnacentral:lncRNA from 1 species